GAAAUCUUUGGGGAGUGCUCACUUUAAAAUCAGAACGAUACAGAGAAGACGGGCAUGACCCCUGCACAAGGAUGACAUGCAAAUUUGUGAAGCAUUCCAUAUUUUA
rnacentral:snRNA from 1 species